UACAGAGGGUGCGAGCGUUAAUCGGAAUUACUGGGCGUAAAGCGUGCGUAGACGGUUAUCUAAGUCGGAUGUGAAAGCCCCGGGCUCAACCUGGGAAUUGCGUUCGAGACUGAAUAGCUAGGGUGCGGUAGAGGGAAGCGGAAUUUCCGGUGUAGCGGUGAAAUGCGUGGAGAUGUGGAGGAACACCGAUGGCGAAGGCAGCCUCCUGGGCCAAUACUGACGCUCAUGCACGAAAGCGUGGGGAGCAAACAGG
rnacentral:rRNA from 1 species